UACGGAGGUAGAGCACUGAAUGUCCUAGGGGGUAUUGCACCUACCGAAGACUAUCAAACUCCGAAUGCCGUCAUCUUAUACUUGGGAGUCAGACUGUGGGUGAUAAGAUUCAUAGUCGAAAGGGCAACAGCCCAGAUCGUCAGCUAAGGUCCCUAAAUGUAAGUUAAGUGGGAAAGGAUGUGGGAUUGCACAGACAACCAGGAUGUUGGCUUAGAAGCAGCCACUCAUUCAAAGAGUGCGUAAUAGCUCACUGGUCGAGUGAUCCUGCGCCGAAGAUUUCCGGGGCUAAAACUUACUACCGAAGCUACGGCAUCAUUAUGAUGGGUAGGGGAGCUUCCCAU
rnacentral:rRNA from 1 species